UACAGAGGCUGCAAGCGUUAUUCGGAUUCACUGGGCGUAAAGGGUGCGUAGGCGGCCGUUUGUGUGAGGCGUGAAAGCCCGGGGCUUAACCCCGGAAUUGCACCUGAAACUACACGGCUAGAGCAUUGGAGAGGGUAGCAGAAUUCACGGUGUAGCAGUGAAAUGCGUAGAUAUCGUGAGGAAUACCAGAGGCGAAGGCGGCUACCUGGACAAUUGCUGACGCUCAGGCACGAAAGCGUGGGGAGCAAAAGGG
rnacentral:rRNA from 1 species